rnacentral:rRNA from 1 species
AUUGAACGCUGGCGGAAUGCUUUACGCAUGCAAGUCGAACGGCAGCACGGACUUCGGUCUGGUGGCGAGUGGCGAACGGGUGAGUAAUGUAUCGGAACGUGCCCAGUCGUGGGGGAUAACGUAGUGAAAAUUACGCUAAUACCGCAUACGAUCUAUGGAUGAAAGCGGGGGAUCGCAAGACCUCGCGCGAUUGGAGCGGCCGAUAUCAGAUUAGGUAGUUGGUGGGGUAAAGGCCCACCAAGCCAACGAUCUGUAGCUGGUCUGAGAGGACGAGCCGCCACACUGGAACUGAGACACGGCCCAGAUUCCUACGGGAGGCAGCAGUGGGGAAUUUUGGACAAUGGGCGAAAGCCUGAUCCAGCCAGUCCGCGUGCAGGAUGAAGGCCUUCGGGUUGUAAACUGCUUUUGUACAGAACGAAAAGGUUUCUACUAAUACUAGGAGCUCAUGACGGUACUGUAAGAAUAAGCACCGGCUAACUACGUGCCAGCAGCCGCCGUAA